rnacentral:rRNA from 1 species
UACAGAGGGUGCGAGCGUUAAUCGGAAUUACUGGGCGUAAAGGGUUUGUAGGUGGCUUGUUAAGUCAGACGUGAAAUCCCUCAGCUUAACUGGGGAACUGCGUCUGAUACUGGCGAGCUUGAGUGCAGGAGAGGAACGCGGAAUUCCAGGUGUAGCGGUGAAAUGCGUAGAUAUCUGGAGGAACACCGGUGGCGAAGGCGGCGUUCUGGACUGUAACUGACACUGAGAAACGAAAGCCAGGGUAGCAAACGGG